AAGGCUUUAGCUUAAUUAAAGUGUCUGUUUUGCAUGCAGGAGAUGUGGGGU
rnacentral:tRNA from 1 species